rnacentral:rRNA from 1 species
GACGAACGCUGGCGGCGGGCUUAACACAUGCAAGUCGAACGGAAAGGCCCUGCUUUUUUGGGGUUCUCGAGUGGCUAUCGCGUGAGUAACACGUGAGUAACCUUCCCUUGACUUUGGUAUAACUUCAGGAAACUGGGGCUACUCCCGUAUAGGAUCUCCUGCUGCAUUGUGGGGGUUGGAACUUUUCGGCUGUUGGGGAUGGACUCGCGGCUUGUCAGCUUGUUGGUGGGGUGAUGGCUUGCCAAGGCGUGGACGGGUAGCCGGCCUGAGAGGAUGAUCGGCCACACGGGAACGGAGACACGGUCCAGACGACUAAGGGAGGCAGCAGUGGGGAAUAUUGGACAAUGGGCGCAAGCAUGAUACAGCCAGACCGCGUGGGUGAAGAAGGCCUUCGGGUAGUAAAGACCGUUUGUUGGGAAAGAAAAGCAGCAGGUUAAUACCCCGCUGUUCUGACGGUACCCAAAGAAUAAGCACCGGCUAACUUCGUG